rnacentral:rRNA from 1 species
UACGUAGGGUGCGAGCGUUAAUCGGAAUUACUGGGCGUAAAGCGUGCGCAGGCGGUUUUGUAAGCCAGGUGGGAAAUCCCCGGGCUUAACCUGGGAAUUGCAUUUGUGACUGCAUGGCUAGAGUGUGUCAGAGGGGGGUAGAAUUCCACGUGUAGCAGUGAAAUGCGUAGAUAUGUGGAGGAAUACCGAUGGCGAAGGCAGCCCCCUGGGAUAACACUGACGCUCAUGCACGAAAGCGUGGGGAGCAAACAGG